rnacentral:rRNA from 1 species
CUUAUCUCCCCCAAGAGUCCACAUCGACGGGGCGGUUUGGCACCUCGAUGUCGGCUCAUCACAUCCUGGGGCUGUAGUAGGUCCCCAGGGUUGGGCUGUUCGCCCAUUAAAGUGGUACGCGAGCUGGGUUCAGAACGUCGUGGGACAGUUCGGUCCCUAUCCGUCGCAGGCGUAGGAAAUUUGAGAAGACCUGUCCUUAGUACGAGAGGACCGGGAUGGACGUACCUCUGGUGUACCAGUUGUCCUGCCAAGGGCAUGGCUGGGUAGCUAUGUACGGAAUGGAUAAGCGCUGAAAGCAUCUAAG